AUUGAACGCUGGCGGCAGGCCUAACACAUGCAAGUCGAGCGGCAGCGGGGGAAAGCUUGCUUUCCCGCCGGCGAGCGGCGGACGGGUGAGUAAUGUCUGGGAAACUGCCUGAUGGAGGGGGAUAACUACUGGAAACGGUAGCUAAUACCGCAUAACGUCUUCGGACCAAAGUGGGGGACCUUCGGGCCUCAUGCCAUCAGAUGUGCCCAGAUGGGAUUCGCUAGUAGGUGGGGUAACGGCUCACCUAGGCGAAGAUCCCUAGCUGGUCUGAGAGGAUGACCAGCCACACUGGAACUGAGACACGGUCCAGACUCCUACGGGAGGCAGCAGUGGGGAAUAUUGCACAAUGGGCGCAAGCCUGAUGCAGCCAUGCCGCGUGUAUGAAGAAGGCCUUCGGGUUGUAAAGUACUUUCAGCGGGGAGGAAGGUGUUGUGGUUAAUAACCAGAGCAAUUGACGUUACCCGCAGAAGAAGCACCGGCUAACUCCGUGCCAGCAGCCGCGGUAAAAC
rnacentral:rRNA from 1 species